GACAGAGGGUGCAAACGUUGUUCGGAAUUACUGGGCGUAAAGCGAGUGUAGGCGGUCUCAUAAGUCAGGUGUGAAAGCCCUGGGCUCAACCCAGGAAGUGCACUUGAAACUGCGAGGCUAGAGUAUCGGAGAGGUUGGUGGAUUCUCGGUGUAGAGGUGAAAUCGUAGAUAUCGAGAGGAACACCGGUGGCGAAAGCGGCAUCCUGGACCAAUAUUGACGCUGAGGAGCGAAAGCCAGGGAGCAAACGGG
rnacentral:rRNA from 1 species